rnacentral:rRNA from 1 species
GUGAGUCAUCGAGUCUUUGAACGCACCUUGCGCUCCUUGGUAUUCCGAGGAGCACGCCUGUUCGAGUGUCGUGAAAUUCUCAAGCUGGAUAGCUUUAUUGUUAUCUCAGUUUGGUUUUGGGUUUUGCCGUCUCCUCUUUUGUGAACGGCUGGCCUUAAAAGUAUUAGCUGACCCUUGUUUGUGGGAUUGGUUCUACUCAGCGUGAUAAUUUAUGACCGCUGAGGACAUCUUUCGGGAUGGCCAGCUCUGCCUUGGAUCGCUUCUAAUCCUGGUAUUUGGAGUCCGCUCCUCAUCCUUAACUUUUUCAACUUUGACCUCGAAUCAGGUGGGACUACCCGCUGAACUUAA